CUCCAUUGUUCACAUCCUGGUCCUGGGCAAUGGAGCGGUCACAUAUUGUCUGCAGCCAAAAUGGCAACCUAUUCUCCCUAUGGACCCUGGACAACAGUAGUGCACUAUAUAGUGAAUAGGGCGCCAUUUCAGAUGAAUCCAUUGUUAAAGAACGACUGCCCCAAAAAAACAAAUAAUCUCUUUGAAAACAGCCUAUGUGGCUUCGAUAUGAGUCAGAAACAUUUAUUCUUAAUAGGAUCAUUUUGUUCAUAACGUCAGUCUCGUCUUAAACGGAGUUUGGAACUGAGUGCGUCACAACGAGUAAAUUAAGGUUAGGUCUGGAUAACAAUUAUGUCUACAAUUCAUGCCCCCUUUUGUCAAGCUCCACGUGCAAAUCGCCCCUCCACCCACUUUGCUUCUCUUUAUUGAAUGGGGCUCCAUUGUUUUAUCGCGUUCAAAGGAUCAGACCGUUUGAGACUGAAAAGGCCUAUACAGAUUGACAAUGCCUCUGGCUCCGGUUCAACAAUGCAUGCUUCCAGUAAGAUGAACAGCCAGCUAUGGUUUGCAUGUCCUGCUGAAGGACCCUACCAUGCGGAAUAGGUGGUUGGAGUUGGUUCCCAAUGGUGACAGAUGUGCCUGUAUGGAGCCAGCACCAGGGAGACUUGCAAGAUGAUGUGGUGGAUUCCAGACUGGCAGACAGGCUUGAUGCUGAUGACUCUGAAUUGAGAGAGACCUUGCACUUAGCAAUACAAUUAUAUAAGACACAUCGAUUACUUGUUAUGGUCUUUUAUUAUUAUUGAAUCGGGGGGGAACUGUGGAACACAUCAUCCACAAUAUUAUGUGAAGGAUGACUUAUUCCAAAUGGAACUAUUGCACAUGAAAGUUAUCAAAACACUUUGUUU
rnacentral:lncRNA from 1 species